rfam:Bacillus enclensis strain SGD-1123 genomic scaffold Scaffold13, whole genome shotgun sequence.
AAAACGAAUACAUUUGUACCGUAGACAGCUGGUGCUCCCCGGAGCUUAAUUUCCCGCCGAGGUAAUUGCGAUAAAAAAUGCGCCCUGUGCGUGUUAGCGAUGCCCUUAUGUCUACCUUGAUAUAAGGGCAUUUUUUAUUGGAUGA